rnacentral:rRNA from 1 species
AUUGAACGCUAGCGGGAUGCCUUACACAUGCAAGUCGAACGGAGUGGCGAACGGGUGAGUAAUGUAUCGGACCGUGCCCAGUAGCGGGGGAUAACUACGCGAAAGCGUAGCUAAUACCGCAUACUAUUGGAGUGGCCGAUAUCUGAUUAGCUAGUUGGUGGGGUAACGGCCGACCAAGGCGACGAUCCGGAGCUGGUUUGAGAGGACGACCAGCAACACUGGGACUGAGACACGGUCCAGACUCCUACGGGAGGCAGCAGUGGGGAAUAUUGGACAAUGGGGGAAAGCCUGAUCCAGCCAUCCCGCGUGUGCGAUGAAGGCCUUCGGGUUGUAAAGCACUUUGAGCAGGGAAGCGUUACCAGCAGAAUAAGCACCGGCUAACUCCGUGCCAGCAGCCGCGGUAAUAC